rnacentral:rRNA from 1 species
UACAGAGGUCACAAGCGUUAUCCGGAUUUAUUGGGCGUAAAGCGUUUCGUAGGUGGGUUCAUAAGUUAUUUUUCAAAUCCCAAGGCUCAACCUUGGAAAGGGAGAUAAUACUGUGAGUCUUGAUUUUUGGUGGGGUAUCUGGAACUGAUGGUGUAGUAGUGAAAUACGUUGAUAUCAUCAGGAACUCCAAGGGCGAAGGCAGGAUACUAACCAAUUAAUGACACUGAGGAACGACAGCUAGGGGAGCGAAAGGG